GCAGUCGUGGCCGAGUGGUUAAGGCGAUGGACUUGAAAUCCAUUGGGAU
rnacentral:tRNA from 1 species